CAAUCAAAUUUCCUUUUAGAAAAAGUGCUAUCAUUGUAAAUCGGAGCAAAAUGCUGGUUGAAAAGUUGUUCACGGGAGAAAAAAGGCCGUAAUACUUUAUAAUUAAUACCUACAUUUAUGUUAUUUAUAAUACAUUUAAUUGUACAUUUUUUAUCGUAACUUCUGUAUCUCAUUCUCAUAUAAAAUGAACUACGAAAAAACUUAUAAGAGUCAAAAAUGCUUAAUAAUAAAAAAAAUAGUCAAAUCUCAUG